rnacentral:piRNA from 1 species
UGAAGUGUUGACGUUUGUCCAGAGUUCACA